CCACGGGGAUGUCGUGUCUGUCC
rnacentral:miRNA from 11 species